rnacentral:rRNA from 1 species
UACAGAGGGGGCAAGCGUUGUUCGGAAUUACUGGGCGUAAAGGGCGCGUAGGCGGCCUGCUAAGUCGAACGUGAAAUCCCUGGGCUCAACCCAGGAACUGCGUCCGAUACUGGUUGGCUUGAAUCCGGGAGAGGGAUGUGGAAUUCCAGGUGUAGCGGUGAAAUGCGUAGAUAUCUGGAGGAACACCGGUGGCGAAGGCGGGUCUCUGGGCAACUACUGACGCUGAGGAGCGAAAGCGUGGGGAGCGAACAGG